rnacentral:rRNA from 1 species
GCAAUCUGCCCUUCACUCUGGGACAAGCCCUGGAAACGGGGUCUAAUACCGGAUAACACCUGCCCGGGCAUCUGGGUGGGUUAAAAGCUCCGGCGGUGAUGGAUGGACCCGCGGCCUAUCAGCUUGUUGGUGAGGUAGUGGCUCACCAAGGCGACGACGGGUAGCCGGCCUGAGAGGGCGACCGGCCACACUGGGACUGAGACACGGCCCAGACUCCUACGGGAGGCAGCAGUGGGGAAUAUUGCACAAUGGGCGAAAGCCUGAUGCAGCGACGCCGCGUGAGGGAUGACGGCCUUCGGGUUGUAAACCUCUUUCAGCAGGGAAGAAGCGAAAGUGACAAUCCCCGCAGAAGAAGCGCCGGCUAACUACGUGCCAGCAGCCGCGGUAAUACGUAGGGCGCAAGCGUUGUCCGGAAUUAUUGGGCGUAAAGAGCUCGUAGGCGGCUUGUCACGUCGGGUGUGAAAGCCCGGGGCUUAACCCCGGGUCUGCGUUCGAUACGGGCUAGCUAGAGUGUGGUAGGGGAGAUUGGAAUUCCUGGUGUAGCGGUGAAAUGCGCAGAUAUCAGGAGGGACACCGGUGGCGAAGGCGGAUCUCUGGGCCAUUACUGACGCUGAGGAGCGAAAGCGUGGGGAGCGAACAGGAUUAGAUACCCUGGUAGUCCACGCCGUAAACGGUGGGAACUUGAUG